UUAUCCGGUAGGUGAGGCUACCACAAGGAUAUGGGUUGCUGCCGAAGAAGCGUGGAGACACGUCCCUUCAGGUGAACAGGCUUUGUCGAAGCCAAGGCAAAGUUUAAUGCAACUUCACCGCCCUGUGAUGCUAAAACUUGU
rnacentral:sRNA from 1 species